rnacentral:rRNA from 1 species
GACGAACGCUGGCGGCGUGCCUACUACAUGCAAGUCGAAAGCAGUGGGGAAGGGUGAGUAACACGUGGGUAACCUACCAUCAGAGGGGAUAACACUUGGAAACAGGUGCUAAACCGAUACUGAUGGAUGAACCCGCGGUGCAUUAGCUAGUUGGUGAGGUAACGGCUCACCAAGGCGACGAUGCAUAGCAGACCUGAGAGGGGGAUCUGCCUCACUGUGACUGAGACACGGCCCAGACUCCUACGGGAGGCAGCAGUAGGGAAUCUUCUGCAAUGGACGAAAGUCUGACCGAGCAACGCCGCGUGAGUGAAGAAGGUUUUCGGAUCGUAAAGCUCUGUUGUUAGAGAAGCGGUAUCUAACCAGAAAGCCACUGCUAACGACGUGCCAGCAGCCGCGGUAAUUC